rnacentral:rRNA from 1 species
CCUACGGGAGACAGCAGUGAGGAAUAUUGGUCAAUGGGCGAGACCCUGAACCAGCGAAGUCGCGUGAAGGAUGACGGCCCUACGGGUUGUAAACUUCUUUUGUCAGGGAGCAAUUGACUCCACGUGUGUGCUUAGCCACAGUACCUGAAGAAAAAGCAUCGGCUAACUCCGUGCAGGCAGCCGCGGUAAUAGGGGGGAGGGGAUGGUUAUCCGGCUUUAUUGGGUUGAAGGGCUGCGUAGGCGGAACUUCAGGUCAGCGGUAAAAGUUCGGGGCCAAACCCCGUAGUGCCGUUGAAACUGAGGUGCUGGAGUGGGGGAGAGGUAGGCGGAAUGCGUGGUGUAGCGGUGAAAUGCGUAGAUAUCAGGAGGAACACCGGUGGCGAAGGCGGCAUACUGG